rnacentral:rRNA from 1 species
AGAGUUUGAUCCUGGCUCAGGAUGAACGCUAGCUACAGGCUUAACACAUGCAAGUCGAGGGGCAGCAUCAUCAAAGCUUGCUUUGAUGGAUGGCGACCGGCGCACGGGUGAGUAACACGUAUCCAACCUGCCGACAACACUGGGAUAGCCUUUCGAAAGAAAGAUUAAUACCGGAUGGCAUAGUUUUCCCGCAUGGGAUAAUUAUUAAAGAAUUUCGGUUGUCGAUGGGGAUGCGUUCCAUUAGGCAGUUGGCGGGGUAACGGCCCACCAAACCAACGAUGGAUAGGGGUUCUGAGAGGAAGGUCCCCCACAUUGGAACUGAGACACGGUCCAAACUCCUACGGGAGGCAGCAGUGAGGAAUAUUGGUCAAUGGACGAGAGUCUGAACCAGCCAAGUAGCGUGAAGGAUGACUGCCCUAUGGGUUGUAAACUUCUUUUAUACGGGAAUAAAGUUAGCCACGUGUGGUUUUUUGUAUGUACCGUAUGAAUAAGGAUCGGCUAACUCCGUGCCAGCAGCCGCGGUAAUACGGAGGAUCCGAGCGUUAUCCGGAUUUAUUGGGUUUAAAGGGAGCGUAGAUGGGUUGUUAAGUCAGUUGUGAAAGUUUGCGGCUCAACCGUAAAAUUGCAAUUGAUACUGGCAGUCUUGAGUACAGUUGAGGUAGGCGGAAUUCGUGGUGUAGCGGUGAAAUGCUUAGAUAUCACGAAGAACUCCGAUUGCGAAGGCAGCUCACUGGAGUGUAACUGACGCUGAUGCUCGAAAGUGUGGGUAUCAAACAGGAUUAGAUACCCUGGUAGUCCACACGGUAAACGAUGAAUACUCGCUGUAGGCGAUAUACGGUCAGCGGCCAAGCGAAAGCAUUAAGUAUUCCACCUGGGGAGUACGCCGGCAACGGUGAAACUCAAAGGAAUUGACGGGGGCCCGCACAAGCGGAGGAACAUGUGGUUUAAUUCGAUGAUACGCGAGGAACCUUACCCGGGCUUAAAUUGCAACCGAAUAUGGCGGAAACGCCAUAGCUAGCAAUAGCGGUUGUGAAGGUGCUGCAUGGUUGUCGUCAGCUCGUGCCGUGAGGUGUCGGCUUAAGU